rnacentral:rRNA from 1 species
UACCAGCACCCCGAGUGGUCGGGACGUUUAUUGGGCCUAAAGCAUCCGUAGCCGGUUCUACAAGUCUUCCGUUAAAUCCACCUGCUUAACAGAUGGGCUGCGGAAGAUACUAUAGAGCUAGGAGGCGGGAGAGGCAAGCGGUACUCGAUGGGUAGGGGUAAAAUCCGUUGAUCCAUUGAAGACCACCAGUGGCGAAGGCGGCUCACUGGCCCGAUACUGACGCUGAGGCAUGAAAGCGUGGGGAGCAAACAGG